rnacentral:piRNA from 1 species
UAACUUAAUGGCUGAAGC